UCCAGCAUGGUUUAGUUGGCUAGGAUACCUAGCUCUUACCUAAGAGGUCUGGGUUCGAUUCCUGGAGUGGGAU